AGUAUCAUGCCAACUAAGAGAAUCAGCUUCAUUAAGUAUAUAUAAUGAAAUUAAACGACAAUGCAAAUCCAACAAUCGUUCUGCCACAGCUUCAGUCAUUUCAUGAUAAGACUUAUACGAUGUGUUUAAUUUCUCGCUAUCAAAAAUAAGAAAUUUAAUUAAAAAAAAAGAAUUUACAAUGAUUUACUAUGAAUACCUUGAUUGUAAAGAAAUUAAAUUUUUAGCCUGUUGAUUAUAACACCAUAAAGAAUUUCGUAUUAAUGCAGCUGCUCCUAAAGUAGCUGUUAAUACUGUCAAAUCUGCAUGAUCUAAUGAUUCUUGAAUAAGUAAAUAAGUCUCAUUUUCCAUUAAAUUUGUCAAACCGGAAUGACGUUCAAAUGCAGCUUGAAAAUCUGCUUCCCACCACAUAAUGAUUUUAACAGCAGCGAAUGAAGCAUGCCUUGGGAAAUCAAGUUUUCCGCCGCUUACACGCGAACAAAUUGGCUCUUUCAACACGGUUUGCAUUUCCUGCAUCAUAAUAUCAUAUGUAUGAUAUUAACUGAUAAUAAAUUCUUUAUUAUUUUGUAAAA